rnacentral:rRNA from 1 species
AGCGAACGCUGGCGGCAGGCCUAACACAUGCAAGUCGAACGGCUCUUCGGAGCAGUGGCGGACGGGUGAGUAACGCGUGGGAACGUGCCCUUUGGUACGGAACAACUGAGGGAAACUUCAGCUAAUACCGUAUGUGCCCCUCUUCUUAGCGGAAGGGGUGGGAAAGAUUUAUCGCCAUUGGAGCGGCUCGCGUUGGAUUAGGUAGUUGGUGGGGUAAAGGCCUACCAAGCCUACGAUCCAUAGCGGUCUGAGAGGAUGAUCAGCCACACUAGGACUGAGACACGGCCCAGACUCCUACGGGAGGCAGCAGUGGGGAAGUCUU